GACGAACGCUGGCGGCGUGCCUAACACAUGCAAGUCGAACGGAGAUAUGAUUUCGGUUGUAUCUUAGUGGCGAACGGGUGAGUAACGCGUGAGCAACCUGACUCUUAGAGGGGGAUAACACUCGGAAACGGGUGCUAAUACCGCAUAAGACCACGACAUGGCAUCAUGACGAGGUCAAAGGAGCAAUCCGCUGAGAGAGGGGCUCGCGUCCCAUUAGAUAGAUGGCGGGGUAACGGCCCACCAUGUCAACGAUGGGUAGCCGAGCUGAGAGGCUGAUCGGCCACACUGGAACUGAGACACGGUCCAGACUCCUACGGGAGGCAGCAGUGGGGAAUAUUGGGCAAUGGGCGCAAGCCUGACCCAGCAACGCCGCGUGAGGGAAGAAGGCUUUCGGGUUGUAAACCUCUGUCCUUGGUGACGAAACAAAUGACGGUAGCCAAGGAGGAAGCCCCGGCUAACUACGUGCCAGCCGCCGCGGUAAAAC
rnacentral:rRNA from 1 species